GAUGAACGCUGGCGGCGUGCCUAAUACAUGCAAGUCGAGCGAACGGACGAGAAGCUUGCUCCUCUGAUGUUAGCGGCGGACGGGUGAGUAACACGUGGAUAACCUACCUAUAAGACUGGGAUAACUUCGGGAAACCGGAGCUAAUACCGGAUAAUAUAUUGAACCGCAUGGUUCAAUAGUGAAAGACGGUUUUGCUGUCACUUAUAGAUGGAUCCGCGCUGCAUUAGCUAGUUGGUAAGGUAACGGCUUACCAAGGCAACGAUGCGUAGCCGACCUGAGAGGGUGAUCGGCCACACUGGAACUGAGACACGGUCCAGACUCCUACGGGAGGCAGCAGUAGGGAAUCUUCCGCAAUGGGCGAAAGCCUGACGGAGCAACGCCGCGUGAGUGAUGAAGGUCUUCGGAUCGUAAAACUCUGUUAUUAGGGAAGAACAUAUGUGUAAGUAACUGUGCACGUCUUGACGGUACCUAAUCAGAAAGCCACGGCUAACUACGUG
rnacentral:rRNA from 1 species